UAACUUUUCUCUCACUCUCUUUUCUUUCUCCCUCACGCGUACACUCUCUUCCUCUCACGCUCGUUUUCUGUCUUCUUCUUCUCUUAUCUUCUUCUUCAUUUUACUUCUUCAGAAAACCUAAGCACCUCAACAUCAUCUUCUUCUUCCUCUCAUGGCAGCCGCCACCAUCACCGCUCCCUCUGCUCACACGAACCGCCACCGGUCACGCCACCAUCACCAUCGUUCCUGUCCUGAUCUUUCUCUUCUUCUCCUUCCAUGUGCAAACCACCAUGGCAUCACCCAAGCUAGCCAGCAGCCACGGUGACGCCGCCACCUCCUUCAGUCCCGCGAGCACCAUCAUCACCAACAUGAUGAGAAACAACAGAGAACAGAGGAGAAAAAUGAAACCCUAGCCGCACCUUCAAAGCCCGAUCUCCGGCGAACCACUGAGUUUUUGGAAAAACCAACCACACCAUGGAACUCCCCUCGCCGUGCGCUGCAAAACCCCUAAAGAAAUUUCCAAUUCCGACGACCUUCGCCGGAAGCCGCCGCCAACCACCGUCUUCUCCGGCCAACCCUCGCCGGAGGACUCACUGAGCUCAGAACCGUGGAGCUCUCCUUCCCCUCUUGUCAAAUUGAUAAUCAAUUUUUGUGUUGUUCAACAUUCAUGGUCCUCAGAGGAAGGCAAAAGCUGCUGUUAGAGAAGAGGAGGAAGCAAAUUCAGAACCUUAGCCAUGAGGCUUAAGGGUAUGAAUAACGGAAGCGCUUGGCGACGAAGCCAAAGAAUAAAAGAAAGCGAGCCGACACGGGAAAGCAAAGACGUGAUUGAAUUGAAGUCACCGUUUAGGAAGGGAAAUUGGCUAAGGUAAGGGUAACUCAGUUUUAGUGCGUCUUUGAGUCUUGCCUGCUUUUAUCGCACUGCAUGCGUUUGAGAUGAAGAUGUUUAUAUUGAUUGGCAGAUGAAUAUGAUUAUUAUGCUUGCAAUGUUGUAUGCUUGCUUAUAUUGACUGUUUCUGAGGCUUGUGCCAAAUGUUUUCUGAAGGCUUCGGCCGAGUAAACUUAUUGAGACGUGAGUCUCCGUUUUCUGAGAGGCUUCGCCCGUUUACUGGUUUCUGUCAUUGAACUGAGUUGGUAUGCAUUGAAUUGAUUUAUGUUCGUUGAGGUUAUGAAUAACAUGUGGUUACCUUGAUUUGAUUGUUGGAUUUGAGACUGUUGUUCGAGUGAUUACUGAGGUUGAGGAUUGUUGUUGACUAACUCGACAUUUAAGGCUUGAACUUGAAGUGGCAAUGUGGUGGUGAUUGUCCCACGUGAUUGUCCCGUCUUUUAAGGCGUUAUAAAGUGGCGGUGUGGUGGUGAUUGUCCCACGUGAUCGUCCCAUCUUUCGAGAUGUCCUAAAGUGGCAGUGUGGUGGUGAUUGUCCCACGUGAUUGUCCCGUCCGUAGUGGCGUUAAGUGGCGGUGUGGUGGUGAUUGUCUCACGUGAUCGUCCCGUCUUGAGAGACGUUGCUGAUCGAUCCAUAUUGGUAGAAACAUAUAGUCGCAUUAUAGGACACUAACAAUUGAUUAUGUUUAUAUCUGCCUUAAUUCUAUGUGGUUAAUUAUGUUAUUAUCUGAUUCAAUUAUAUGUUGUUGAUUUUGUUGAUAUUUGCCUUGAAAUGUAUUGAUAGCUUAUUUAUCGGAAUGUUUUGGAGUUUUUGAAGUGACGAUGUGGUGGAUAUUGUCCCACGUGAUCGUCCCAUCUUUCGAGAUGUCCUAAAGUGGCAGUGUGGUGGUGAUUGUCCCACGUGAUUGUCCCGUCCGUAGUGGCGUUAAGUGGCGGUGUGGUGGUGAUUGUCCCACGUGAUCGUCCCGUCUUUCGAGACGUUAUCAAGUGGUAGUGGAGUGGACAUUUUCACAUGACUAUCCCGUCCUUCGAGGCGUUACUUAGUGACAGUGGAGUGAAUAUUUUCACAGGACUGUCCCGUCUUGCGAGACGUUAUUGUCUGAUUGAUAUUGUUGAGGAUUGUCGAUAUCUGAAUUGACGAGGUUAUUGAUAGUUGAUUUAAAUCUAUAUUGUUGAAUAUAUGUCGUCAUCUAUCUUGAAUUAGGUUGCUAGCGUAUGUGCCAUGUUAUGCACUUAUAUCUGAAUAGCAUGUUUUUCUCUUUCAUACGUGGUAAUGGCAGGAGUUAACCCUUUCUAUUUGCUACUUGUUGUUUGAGCGCUUAACGCUAUUAGGCGAUGGAGAAUCUUCGACGGAGCUUGACCUUCGUACGAGUCGGAGAGGAGAACUUGAAGAACUGUGGAAGACUUGAAGAAUAUAGUCGGGUGUAGAGUUAGAGAGCUAACCAUUAUUGGUUUAAGCUUGCAUAACGGGUUUAGAAAUUUAUAUUUGAGGUUUCAGGUACUCGCCUUGUUCAAGGCUUGAUGUAAAUCCCUUUGUAGUUGGGAGUAUGCAUGACAUGUUUUGGAAAUACAUUUGAGAAAAAAAAAAUAUACUCGUGUUUAUACA